GUAGUCCCUUUUUCCCUGCUUGGACUUUGACUGAACCCUUGCAACACUGGGGUUUAAUUUUCUCUGCUAUUUGGGUGUGCCUUAUGGGGUGUUCUACCGCAACCCAAUUCCAUGGCAUGUCCACCCCAUGGACGACGUUGGCUAGAAGUAAUUAAAUGCCCUGGCAUUGAAUCAGGCAUGCUCUGGGGUAGGGACUCCUAUUGGUUUGGGGACAAUGUUUGAAAGCAGAGGUAUCAUUUGGUCUCUGUUUCUCAUAAAAUCUGACACAAGCAGCUGCACCAGACUGAUGAGCUCUCCAAGGAGCCAGACAUUCAACAGCGGUUACAUCAGCCUUUGCAGCACCAGCGAGACGGACUUUGUAGCUAUAAUGACCUUCAUUCAAAAAUACACUGUCUGUCUCCAAAUGCAUGGAGCAGUCUUCAGAGAAAUCCAUCCCGAUUCUUUACCAGGACAAAUGCUGGAUAAAUCAGAAAGAAGUACAUGGGUAGGCAAAAGGGGCAAUAAACCCUGAGUCUGCUGCACCCUUGGCACUCAGCUGCAUGCCUCUCUGUAUAAUCAAAUAGACUUUCAGGAUCCGUGGACGAAGGACACCGGGUGCCUGUGCAAUGUGGGCGCAUGGAUGAAGGGAAAGAUCUUUUUCUCCCGUGUGACUCCCUGUUUACGGCAUCACCAGGAGAGAUGGACUGGACAACAGAAUCAUCUGGCAUAGAGAAAAGCAGCUGAAAAAUUGUUCCUUCAAAUGCCUUCAGCGCACGCUUUAUCCCAUUUGCUUUGCUGAUACCACUGUUAAAUGUAGGUGAUGACACAUCCUUUUCAGGAACAGCACGAUGUCCACAAUUUUCGCAAGUUACACUAGUCUCCCAGGGGAAAGAGCCACAGCUUGUCCCAUCCGUCUGCCUCGCGGUCCUGUUUAGGUGCCAGGUUGCUGGCCCUUUGUCUCUCCGGGCCGGUUUGGACUCUGCAUUCAACCUGGGCCUGUA